UUCAGGCAGACACUUGCAGCACCUCUGCCUUCCUUCAGUGAAGGGUUGCUUCUGCUGGCUAAACCUUCCUGAGGAAAGCGUCACAGCUUCACUCUCUGAAACACAAGUGUUGGGAGACUUGGGACCACUGCAUUUGACUUGGCAUGAAGGCAAGUGUGAUGAGAUCUGUGACUGCACCUCUGAAGAGGUAAGUGAGGUAAGUGAAGUUUUCCCUGACAUUGUGUAAGUCUUGUCCCAGGGUCAGAUGCAUCUGGUGGGAGUUUAUACUGCAAGUAACUGUGCCUUUCUGUGGGAGGUUCCUCCCCUGAGACAUUCCUGAGGGAUUAGUCAGAUUUCUGUGCCUCAGAAAGAAAUGUGUACUAUGGCUUCUGGAAAGAAAAGAACAGAAAUCUACCCAAGCAGAGCUGUGGUGCAAGCAGAGGGAGCUGCCCAGCCUGGCUGAGCAGGCUGAGGCUGCCCAUGGCUGGCUCUGCCCACCCACAGAGUGAGUGCAAGUCAGACACAGCUCUGGAAAAUGAAUUGUUUGUGCUGUUCAACAGAAAACAGAACUGGGGCUUGAAGAUGGGGGUGAGGGUGGGAAGUAAGUUUGCAGACAGCACCAAGCUGGGCGGGAGUGUUGAUCAGCUGGAGAGCAGGAAGGCUCUACAGAGGGGUCUGGACAGGCUGGAUCAAAUGCUGUGAGAUUCAGAGAGACCAAGAGCUUGGUCCUGCACCUGGAUGACAACAACUCCAGGCAGUUCUACAGGCUGGGGGCAAUGGGUGGGAAUCUGCCAGGUGGAAAAGGAAAUGGGAAUGCUGGUCAAUGGCAGCUGAACAUGAGCCAGCUGUGCCCAGGUGGCCAAGAAGGCCAAUGGCAUCCUGGACUGGAUCAGCAAUAGUGGCCAGCAGGAGCAGGGCAGUGGUGGUCCCCCUAGACUUGGCACACUGGGUCCACACCUCAAUUCUUGUGCUCAGCUCCGGGCUCCUCAGCACAAGGAGGUGCUGGAGCCAUGUCCAAAGAAAGGCAACAGAGCUGAGGAAGGGUCUGGAGCACAAGGCUUGUGGAGACCUGCUGAGGAAGCUUGGGUGUUUAGCCUGGAGAAAAGGAGGCUCAAGGAAGACAUUAUCACUCUCUACAAUUGCUUGAAAUAAGGGUGUAGGCAGGUGGGGCUUGGUCUCUUGUCCCAGGUAACAAGUGACAGGACAAGAGGAAAUGGUCUCAAAUUGCACAUGGGAAGUUUGAGAUUGGAUAUCAGGAAAAAUAUCUUCACUGAAAGGGUGGCCAGGCAUUGGAACAGGCUUCCCAGGGAAGUGGUGGAACCACCAUCCCUGAAGUAUUCACAAAAUGGGUAGAUGUGGCAUUGGGGAUGUGGUUUAGCAGUAAGCACAGCGCUGCUGGGCCAACAGCUGAACUCAAUGCUCUUAGAGGUCUCUUCCAACCUUAACGUUUCUAUGAUUCUAUACAUUUAAGUGGAAGGUUUGUGCUACUUUCCAAAAUCCAAACUUUCUUUGUUUCUGUUUUCCUUUAAAGACAGCUGAACUGGUGCUAUUUAGUCUUGGAUAGCCCAAUAGGGCUAAGCAGAGGACCAAGUACAUCAAUAAAAGGUUCUGUAGUUUCCAAGAGGAACACUAAUUCCAGAAUGGAAAAUUAUUACUAUUCCAUCCCUUUAGAGACCAGUGGAUAAAUCUGCUCAUGUUUGAGUACUUGAAUUAACAAUGUGUAAGUACCACAUCUCUUUCUAAUUUCUGAAAAGUUUGUUGGUAAAUCAAAGACAUCCAGAGCUCUGUCCUGAAUGUUUUUCUGGGUGUACUGUGGCUGCUGCGUGGUAAUAAAUGUGUGCUUUCUAAGUAGAAAGAAAGAUACGAUCUAUUAGCAUAAAAUAAUGUGAAAUUGUUUAAAUGAAAACCCAAACUUGGUGUUUAGAGCUUGGUAAAAAAUGGAAUGGACCAAAAAUCACUACCACCAGUCGAACUGGCUUUUUGGGCUGGAAACCAAAACUGUGUGCAAGAUACACAAAAGCCUCAGGGAUCUUUCCCUGGGGUAAGUGGUGUUAAACUGUCCAUCUGCCUUCUCUGCCCCACUGAGAAGCCACCCAGUUGCUUGGCUGUGGGCUGACUUUGGAACAUGGAAGUAAUUUUGUUGAGGGCAGCUUGACUAAUCAGCCCAGAGAGCUGGGUGUGUCUGUACAUUUUUGCAGGAACACUACCAGAGGUUUUAUUGUCCUCUGAAUGCAGAACUGGGGACGAGGAUUUGGCAGACGAGGUCCAUUCAUGCUCAGAAGUGUCAGCCCUUUGGCAGAACAAUAUGAGGUGAUUCUGUGCUUUGGAACUUGACUUCCAGCUGCAACUGCCAUGAAAUCCACACUCUUCUUCCCACUGACUGUGCUGGUGGAAAAGGCAAGUGCUGCUUGGGAAAACAAUAAAUAUCACCCAGCUUCCAAAAA